UCCCUGGUGGCUCAGAUGGUAAAGCGCCUGUCUGCAAUGCAGGAGACCCAGGUUUGAUCCCUGGCUUGGGAA
rnacentral:tRNA from 1 species